rnacentral:rRNA from 1 species
ACGCUCGACGACUGUCUUAAUGAGGCUGAGCAGUGGGCGAUGCCAUGUUCACUUAGGAGGCUCUUCGCAACCAUCUUGGUGCACUGCAAGCCAGGUGAUGUGCGUGGUUUAUGGGAUCGGCACUUCGAGCCUAUGUCAGAUGACUAUCGUCGAUCACGCACGUCCACUGAUGAGGUGGAGCAGAUGGUGUUGCUUGACAUUAGGGGGAUGUUGCAGUCAAUGGGUAAAGACAUUGUUGAUUUCGCUCUUCCAAGCAUAGAUGAUGCGUUUGACCCUACAGAGGGCGAGGCAAGAGAGGUUAUCGAGGAAUCAACCAUUGAGUUUGACAUGGAUGACACAAAAUUGGCAUCUUCACUCAACAUGGAGCAGAGGGCCGCAUACGAUGAGAUACUAGGGGCUGUUGAACGCAGUGAUGGGGGUGUUUUCUUU